UACGGAGGAUCCGAGCGUUAUCCGGAUUAUUGGGUUUAAAGGGUGCGUAGGCGGCCUGGUAAGUCAGGGGUGAAAGACGGUAGCUUAACUAUCGCAGUGCCCUUGAUACUGCUGGGCUUGAAUGUAGUUGAGGUAGGCGGAAUGUGAGCAAGUAGCGGUGAAAUGCAUAGAUAUGUCACAGAACACCAAUUGCGAAGGCAGCUUACUAAAGUAUGAUUGACGCUGAGGCACGAAAGCGUGGGGAUCAAACAGG
rnacentral:rRNA from 1 species